UUUUGUGGCACUGGAGAACUGCAGGCCUUGGGGACAGGCAGGAACUGUACCCUUGGCAGGAACCCUCACUACCUAAGGAUGGGCAAUGGCUUAUGAGUGAGAAACACGGAGCCGUGGGAACUCAGAAUGACAUGCUACCUGGAGAUUGUGGUAAGCCUGAGCACUAUUUUCAUGAAAACUGCCUGCUCAAUCUAUUCUUUAAGGACCUGAAAACCCAGACCCCAAAGGAAUGUUCUGCUUUGCCAACAUUCACUGUCCCGGUGUUUGCUGACUUCACAAACAGAACUUGAUGAAAAUAUGAAAAGACCUGAGAAAGGGUGAAUGUAUGAGAGGAAGAUCCUCUGGGAGCCCAAGGAAUUUACAGAUCCCUGAAUUUUAUCACUGUAGUUACUUUUAAAUUAAAGACAAUAACUGUUCCUUCCAGGUUCUCGUUGACAAAUAAGAAUGCCGAUGUCACUCAAGCAUAUGAUAUGAUAAUCUUUCCCAGAACUGGGAGUAUUCAGAACUAACCAGACAUGGGAACUGUGUUUUUUCAAUGUCUGAGACUUUCUCCUAAUUCCAUCUUAGUCACACGUAGUUACUCAUUACCUUGAAGGGCAUUAAGAGUUUAUCCAUGGCUGCUGUACAUUUUGUGCUGCUUUGCUAAAUCAGGAAAAAAUGCAGACAGCUGAGUCAUAGUUUUCAAUUAGUUUUUCAAUUUCACCAGGAACAAAGUUUUUCAAUAUCUUUAUCAAUUUUGUUGCUUUUCAUAUUACUCUGAUUACAUACUUUGCAGGAUAAUCCAGCCUUUUCCUGAAGUAUAUUAAUAAUGCAUAAUAUAAAUGGGGAGCUGCAUUAUCAAAGUACUCUUAAACAGAGGUGAAAACUUGAAAUCCAGCAAGAUUUAGUGAUUCACAUUCAUGGUCUAUAGAGAUGUGACAGAGGAAAGGAGAAUAAGACAAUUAAGAACCUUGAAAUCAUGACAGGGAUUUAUUACCCAAGAAGAACU
rnacentral:lncRNA from 1 species